UAUUUAUUAAUAUGUUUAUUUUGUGUUUAUAUGCAUAAAAUGAAGUCAAAUACAUAAUCUGCUUAUAUUGCAAACAGUAGUUAGCAAAACUACAAGCUAUUCGGCUAGAGGUGGUUUACUCUCAUGUGAUGUCAUUCUCACAUUAGAGCUCUGACUUAAGACACCAACUAAUUAGCAUUAGUUAAGGCCAUACAGUGAUAAUCUCACAUCAGGCCAACCCUACUGAAGGAUGGAAAUGGUUUAAAAAACAAUGCAAGUACAAAAAAGAUCUGAUUAGUGAUUAGCCGCCUUAUGUGAUGUCAUCAAAGCCAUGCAAGCUUGUUUUUUCCAAAGGGAAUCAAGAUCUUAUUUUAUUUCAAUGCAAAGCACUGAAAGAAAAAAACAAAAACAAAAAACAGCUGGAACGAAACAUUUUGUUACAUGUGACAAACUUUAUAUCAACAGUGGACUUUGUUGCUUUUUCAGAAAAGUGUGGGCAGCAGCUUUACGGUGGCUACUUUUUUUGGGGGGGGAGUUCACAAUUGUGGCACUGGAGAACAUGUCCCAGUCAAAGUCCAUUUAACCAUUAUAUGUGAUAUAAAAACUAAUACAUGUAAAAGUCAACAACAGUAUAAGCUCUUUUACUAAAUUCCACCUAUGUGUGUGUUAGCUGAGAUAAUCUCGUCUGGUUGGCAAACUUUGUUAGCAUAGAUCAAACACUGAGCCACGCGCCAUCAUUUCCUUACAUUAAACGGCAACGCUUAGAAACUUUACGGCUCCUUUCCAAACACAUUCACACAUUAAUUCCCAUGUCUUUUCUCAUUAUAGUAAGUGAAACAAAACUGCUUUGCUAUGUCGCAUUAACGGAUUCCUUCAUGAAUGCGUAAUGACGUCUAAGCAGAAACAGGAUGCAGAACGUAGUCUGCCGCAGCGCACACAUUAACGAACAGCUAACCGCUUUGCCGACGUGAAAAUGAAACGUCCGGGUUCUGGAGAUCCGGCUGUAAACCUAACGGUUCUUAACGGUGUGUGUCCAGCCGGCUGGUUGAGCUCAGAAAGGUGCAACCGCUCAAGAUCCGGGCAGGUCUUUUCAUGUUUUCAUGGAGUAUAAAAGUCAGGGUUGUUUUUUUUCUCUCUCUCUCUCUCUCUCUCUCUGCGGACUGGGGAAAAACUAGAAACCUGCUUUCAUAGUGGGAGAUACGCGAGGAGCUCCGAUGAGAGUGGUCGGAUUUUCUUCCAGCAAACGUCCAGGCUGUUCUGUCCCUCGUCGUGUCCCUGCUAAUUUCAUCCCCCCCCCCCUCCCUCUCUCGUGUGCGGUGUCUGCGUGGGCGUAUUAUCCGGACAGAUGUGCGGGUCGGGCCUGCUGGAGAGAGAAG